rnacentral:rRNA from 1 species
AAACUAGGAUUAGAUAGCCUAUUAUUUAUAGCUUUAUAUUGGUAGUAAAUAAAAUUUAUGAAAUCAUAAGAUUUUGGCGGUAUUUUAAGCUUUUUAGGGGAAUUUGCUCUUUAAUGGAUAAAACGCCUAAAUCUUACUUAAUUGUUUGUAUACCACUAUAGUUAAAUAUAUUGAAUAAUAAUAUUUAAGAUCUUAUUAUAUAUUAAGUCAAGGUGCAAUAAAAAAUUAUGAAUGAAGUGAAUUACAGUGAUUAUAAUUUAUUUAAAAGUAAAAUUUUAAUAAAAUGAUAAUUUGAAUUAAGCUCUAAAAUAUGUACAUAUCG